ACUCCUACGGGAGGCAGCAGUGGGGAAUUUUGGACAAUGGGGGCAAGCCUGAUCCAGCCAUGCCGCGUGUGUGAAGAAGGCCUUCGGGUUGUAAAGCACUUUCAAUUGGGAGGAAAAGUUUAACGCUAAUAGCUACCCACGCUUUCGUUACCUUUAGAAGAAGCACCGGCUAACUCCGCGCCAGCAGCCGCGGUAAUACGGAAGGUGCGAGCGUUAAUCGGAAUUACUGGGCGUAAAGCGCGCGUAGGCGGUUUGUUAAGUUGGAUGUGAAAGCCCUGGGCUCAACCUAGGAACUGCAUCUGAAACUGGCACGCUAGAGUACGAUAGAGGGAGGUGGAAUUUCCCGUGUAGCGGUGGAAUGCGUAUAUAUAUGGAAGAACACCAGUGGCGAAGGCGGCUUUCUGGCUCGCCACCGGCACUGAGGUGCGAAAGCGUGGGUAGCAAACAGGACCACAUAUCCUGGUAUUUCACCCGAUGUCGCUACACGUUGAAUUCUACCUCCCUCUCUCGUACUGCAGCUAGCGCACUAAGUUGACCGCCUGGGGAGUACGGUUGCAAGGUUAAAACUCAAAUGAAUUGACGG
rnacentral:rRNA from 1 species